rnacentral:rRNA from 1 species
CACGUAGGGCGCGAGCGUUGUCCGGAAUUAUUGGGCGUAAAGAGCUCGUAGGUGGCGGGUCACGUCGGGUGUGAAAGCCCGGGGCUUAACUCCGGGUCUGCAUUCGAUACGGGUCUGCUGGGGUCCGGCAGGGGAGACUGGAAUUCCUGGUGUAGCGGUGAAAUGCGCAGAUAUCAGGAGGAACACCGGUGGCGAAGGCGGGUCUCUGGGCCGGUACCGACGCUGAGGAGCGAAAGCGUGGGGAGCGAACAGG